rnacentral:rRNA from 1 species
UAGUCGGAGGUGUGUCUCGGACGGUCGGUUCGCCGCUUGUCGGUGCUCAACUGGCCGGUCCGGACGUCCUGCCGGUGGGGCUGUAAAAGGCUCCGUUAUCCUUCUUUGGUCCUCUUCACUGAGUGCCUUGGUGGGCCGGCACGUUUACUUUGAACAAAUUAGAGUGCUCAAAGCAGGCCGUUGGUCGCCUGAAUACUGUGUGCAUGGAAUAAUGGAAUAGGACCUCGGUUCCAUUUUGUUGGUUUUCAGAACUCGAGGUAAUGAUUAAUAGGGACGGACGGGGGCAUUCGUAUUGCGACGUUAGAGGUGAAAUUCUUGGAUCGUCGCAAGACGAACCGAUGCGAAAGCAUUUGCCAAGAACGUUUUCGUUGAUCAAGAACGAAAGUUAGAGGUUCGAAGGCGAUCAGAUACCGCCCUAGUUCUAACCAUAAACGAUGCCAGCUAGCCAUCCGCCGAAGUUCCUUAUAUGACUCGGCGGGCAGCUUCCGGGAAACCAAAGCUCUUGGGUUCCGGGGGAAGUAU